rnacentral:rRNA from 1 species
GACGUAGGGUGCAAGCGUUGUCCGGAUUUACUGGGCGUAAAGGACGCGUAGGCGGUCCGUUAAGUGUGAAGUGAAAUCUCCAGGGCUCAACCCGGAAACUGCUUUACAUACUGGCGGACUGGAGGGAUGCAGAGGUAAGUAGAAUUCCUGGUGUAGCGGUGAAAUGCGUUGAUAUCAGGAGGAAUACCGAUGGCGAAGGCAGCUUACUGGGCAUCAUCUGACGCUGAGGCGUGAAAGCGUGGGUAGCAAACAGGAUUAGAUACCCUGGUAGUCCACGCCCUAAACGAUGGAUACUAGACGUAAGAGGUAUCGACCCCUCUUGUGUCGCAGUUAACGCACUAAGUAUCCCGCCUGGGGACUACGGCCGCAAGGUUGAA